AUCUUUGAGUUGGUUAUGUGAGGUCCCAGAAUAUCUCCAUAAAAUAAAAAUGUAAAAAUAUAUUUAAGUUGUACGAAAAAUGGAUAUUGACACGACUUGCCCUGUCCAAGGCAAUUAAGGCCAAUUACGGGUCAAUUUCAUUAAUAUAAAUAUAAAAUGUAUCAUAAAAUGCUAAAAUUAAUAGAAAAUAAGUUCUAGGUAAUGUAGAAAAAGAAAAUACAUGUAAUUUUAUAUAACAAAGAGAGGGUUAAGACAUGGAAUUUGGACGUUCUGGAAAACGUCACUCCACUUUCACUUACAAAUGACGCUUUCGAACGACAAACGGCCCGAUGAUUAUUGUUCUAACAAUCCCGAAGUUCUCCGUUCUCCAUGAUGUAAUAAAGAAAAUAAACACAGCUCUCAGUUUCGACUGGAGAGAACCGGGUGACACGCAGGUGGUGAUAAGAGGAGAAGAGAAAAUAUAUAUACAGAAAAACAAAGAAGAAUCGGGGAGUCGCUCCGUAUCCACCAAACAGACAAGUGUCCGAGAGCCGCUCCAGGGAUCGGUCGUCUUUGACGGUGAUUCGCCUAGCCGUUGAGUCAUAGAGUCGAUCCCUAGAGUUCGUCCAGCUGGUCACAGGUUCUCCCUCGACAGACUUUCAACAAUUCCAACACGUCAGUCCUAGCAUUAUUAAUAUUUUUCUGUGCAACAUCGUUAUAGCUGUUUAGUAACCAGCGACGAAGUUUGCAAAGGAAGACCAUAACAGCCUUCUCAACAAUUUCCUUUUCCGUUCUCGUUUAGUCAUCGGGUAGAAUCAGCAGUCACAGCUCCUCAAUAAGUGUGAUUCUAAUUGUUCGUCUAUUCGGACUAAAUACUUUGAGUGUAAGGACUAAAGACUUUCCUGCACUACUAGACUAAAGCAACACGUCGACUUUGCUUUUCAGAUCCUAUUCAUUUCAGGUAUUUAUCCUCCAGUGUCUUUAUGUUCGCCACCCUCUCUAUCAAUAAAGAUCCAAGGUUUGCAGAAACCGUAGUUGUCUGUCUCAAACUGUGCCGAGAACGUCUCACUUUGUCGUCCUUAGU
rnacentral:lncRNA from 1 species